AGGAUAUAUUGUGGAUCAUUUGGGAAGCAAUGCGUGCGCUAUUAUAAUAUACUGUUGUUUUGUCUGAAAAGGAGAGUUUUCUUGUUACAGUGGAGCUAGCCUUUUUCAAAAAUGGUUCCAACUGUGUAUUGUAUUUUAUUAUUAGACUUGAGAUAAAUUCGUCGCGACUGCCUGCUGCAUUUAGGCAUAUUAUUAGGCGGAGGAUAAGAAAAUAAUUAUGAUUCCCUCAGUUAAAGCGAGUGUAAAGGGAUAGGCUCAAAGUAAAAAAUUGCGGGCAUUCGUAUGUCCCCGCGAGUUGUAGCCUCUAGAGGCGUUCCCAGAGGAGGAGGAGAUCCAAAUGUCUUGAAACAGAACUUAAGAAAGGAUGACAGUCCCGUCCUUUGCGCUGCAUCUUUUGUUUUCACGUACGGUGCGCUUUUAUUGCGUCGCAUGCAUUGGGAGUUGAGUGCAAAAUAUGCGAUAAGUUUCCCAUAAAGCUAAGUACUCGCGCGAGACCGAUAGCGAAGGAUAAAAGGUAUUUUAUAAAAGAACGUUAAAAGUACCUGAAAAUGCUGGAAGGGAAACGACUGAAACUUUUGCAUCUCUUCGGUGUUUCUUGGUGUUUUGGAUCUCUUCCGCUUCCUUUCGUUAUAAGAAUUUGGGAUUUUAGAUUUUUCUUUUUCCUUGGGUUUGGUCAGCAUCAGCAGGUAGGUAUCAAUUCUCCCCGUGGAAGGUAAGGCCCUUGUGGGCUGUUAUAACGUUGGGUUAUAUUGUUGACCUACCUGCUGAGGUGUGCUCUUGCGCGUUUGUCGUUGUCUUUGCUUCUUACCAGCGUCUUCUAAACAUAUCCUGGAAUAAGAUUAUCUGAAGUUAGGGUUGACUGGAUGGUGAGGCUUCCUUGCUUUGAGGGAGUCCGGUGGGCUCCUGACUACCUUUGAAAAAGAAGAGGGAAAGUUGUUAUUUGCACCCCUGGUCAUACCAUUAACCGCAUCAGGUCUUCAAGGUUAGAAGCCUCUGGUUGAUAGAAGAAAGUAGAUCAGGGAAGUCGGCAAGAUAGAUCCGAAACUCCGGAAAGCAAAUUGGCUCUGAGGGUGGUGAUGCAUUCUGCCAUUGUGUGCUUCCUUGGUCGGAGCUUUGCUGGCCCUUUCGUGCCUCGCAGCGGUUUGUAGACCGCUGGCUCUGACUGUGUUAUGACCGUUGGUUUGCGUGUACAGUGAACAAGUAACUCAGAACUGGAGCGCACAAGCGGAAUUCGACCGUUUAAUUAAAGCAAAGCAAUGCGAUGGCCGUAAAUGGCGUUACGGCAUUAAGCAUUUUGGCCAGUGCUCUGAAUGUCAUUGUGAUGAAAUUCAAUCAAGCGCNNNNNNNNNNNNNNNNNNNNNNNNNNNNGCCAAAAGCUUCGUCAUAUAAUUCGUGACGUGCAUGAAAGGAUUAACGAGAUUCCGACCGUCCCUACCCACUAUCUAAAGAACCCACGGCAGCCAAGGGAACGGGCUCGGCAGAAGCAUGCCAAGGAAGCGUUUGCUGCAUGCAGUGCCUCCCUCGAGGUGGAAAUGUAAAGACUACAAAGAAGGAAAAUCAAAAAAGGAUUAAAGAGCAUCUCCAGAAACGCUGCUAAUGUUUGCUGAUAUGCAGAAACUAUCUGCGUAGCCGCUAGCCUUUUUUGUGGCCGAGAGAGACCCUUUGAAAAUCAGC
rnacentral:rRNA from 1 species